UACGUAGGGUGCGAGCGUUAAUCGGAAUUACUGGGCGUAAAGCGUGCGUAGGCGGUUCGUUAAGUUCGUUGUGAAAGCCCCGGGCUCAACCUGGGAAUGGCAAUGGAAACUGGCGGGCUGGAGUAUGGCAGAGGGGGGUGGAAUUCCGCGUGUAGCAGUGAAAUGCGUAGAGAUGUGGAGGAACACCGAUGGCGAAGGCAGCCCCCUGGGCUGAGAUUGACGCUCAGGCACGAAAGCGUGGGGAGCAAACAGG
rnacentral:rRNA from 1 species